rnacentral:rRNA from 1 species
AUUGAACGCUGGCGGCAGGCCUAACACAUGCAAGUCGAACGAUCGGCGGACGGGUGAGUAAGGGCUAGGUAUGGGCCACGUAGUGGGGGAGAACGUACCGAAACGGGCGCUAAUACCGCUUACUAUUAGAUCCGGCUAGGUCCGAUUAGCUAGUGGGUGGGGUAAGGGCCUAGCAAGGCGACGAUCCCUAGCUGGUCUGAGAGGAUGAGCAGUCACACUGGAACUGAGACACGGUCCAGACUCCUACGGGAGGCAGCAGUGGGGAAUAUUGCACAAUGGGCGCAAGCCUGAUGCAGCCAUGCCGCGUGUGUGAAGAAGGCCUUCGGGUUGUAAAGUACUUUAAGCUGGGAGGCGUUACCAGCAGAAGAAGCACCGGCUAACUCCGUGCCAGCAGCCGCGGUAAUUC